rnacentral:rRNA from 1 species
UACGGGGGGGCAAGCGUUGUUCGGAAUUACUGGGCGUAAAGGGCUCGUAGGCGGCCAACUAAGUCAGACGUGAAAUCCCCAGGCUCAACCUGGGAACUGCGUCUGAUACUGGUUGGCUUGAAUCCGGGAGAGGGAUGCAGAAUUCCAGGUGUAGCGGUGAAAUGCGUAGAUAUCUGGAGGAACACCGGUGGCGAAGGCGGGUCUCUGGGCAGUAACUGACGCUGAGGAACGAAAGCGUGGGUAGCGAACAGG